AACGAACGCUGGCGGCAUGCCUAACACAUGCAAGUCGAACGAGACCUUCGGGUCUAGUGGCGCACGGGUGCGUAACGCGUGGGAACCUGCCCUUAGGUUCGGAAUAACUCCCCGAAAGGGGUGCUAAUACCGGAUAAUGUCUUCGGACCAAGGAUUUAUCGCCUUUGGAUGGGCCCGCGUUGGAUUAGCUAGUUGGUAGGGUAAAAGCCUACCAAGGCGACGAUCCAUAGCUGGUCUGAGAGGAUGAUCAGCCACACUGGGACUGAGACACGGCCCAGACUCCUACGGGAGGCAGCAGUGGGGAAUAUUGGACAAUGGGCGAAAGCCUGAUCCAGCAAUGCCGCGUGAGUGAUGAAGGCCUUAGGGUUGUAAAGCUCUUUUACCCGGGAUGAUAAUGACAGUACCGGGAGAAUAAGCGCCGGCUAACUCCGUG
rnacentral:rRNA from 1 species